GAUGAACGCUGGCGGCGUGCCUAAUACAUGCAAGUCGAGCGAACAGACGAGGAGCUUGCUCCUCUGACGUUAGCGGCGGACGGGUGAGUAACACGUGGAUAACCUACCUAUAAGACUGGGGUAACUUCGGGGAACCGGAGCUAAUACCGGAUCACAUGUUGUACCGCAUGGUUUAACAGUGAAAGACGGUCUUGCUGUCACUUAUAGAUGGAUCCGCGCCGCAUUAGCUAGUUGGUAAGGUAACGGCUUACCAAGGCAACGAUGCGUAGCCGACCUGAGAGGGUGAUCGGCCACACUGGAACUGAGACACGGUCCAGACUCCUACGGGAGGCAGCAGUAGGGAAUAUUCCGCAAUGGGCGAAAGCCUGACGGAGCAACGCCGCGUGAGUGAAGAAGGUCUUCGGAUCGUAAAGCUCUGUUAUUAGGGAAGAACAACUGUGGAAGUAUCUAUGCACGUCUUGACGGUACCUAAUCAGAAAGCAACGGCUAACUACGUG
rnacentral:rRNA from 1 species